CAAAUUAGAGCUUGAAUAAAGCAUUUUAUUUACACUAAAAAGAUAAUUAGUAUAAUUUAGUUUGA
rnacentral:tRNA from 1 species